GAUGAACGCUGGCGGCGUGCCUAACACAUGCAAGUCGAGCGAUCUUCUUCGGAAGGGAGCGGCGGACGGGUGAGUAACGCGUGGGUAACCUGCCCUGUACACACGGAUAACAUACCGAAAGGUAUGCUAAUACGGGAUAACAUAAGAAAGUCGCAUGGCUUUCUUAUCAAAGCUUUUGCGGUACAGGAUGGACCCGCGUCUGAUUAGCUAGUUGGUAAGGUAACGGCUUACCAAGGCGACGAUCAGUAGCCGACCUGAGAGGGUGAUCGGCCACAUUGGAACUGAGACACGGUCCAAACUCCUACGGGAGGCAGCAGUGGGGAAUAUUGCACAAUGGGCGAAAGCCUGAUGCAGCAACGCCGCGUGAGCGAUGAAGGCCUUCGGGUCGUAAAGCUCUGUCCUCAAGGAAGAUAAUGACGGUACUUGAGGAGGAAGCCCCGGCUAACUACGUGCCAGCAGCCGCGGUAAUACGUAGGGGGCUAGCGUUAUCCGGAAUUACUGGGCGUAAAGGGUGCGUAGGCGGUCUUUCAAGUCAGAAGUGAAAGGCUACGGCUCAACCGUAGUAAGCUUUUGAAACUGUAAGACUUGAGUGCAGGAGAGGAGAGUGGAAUUCCUAGUGUAGCGGUGAAAUGCGUAGAUAUUAGGAGGAACACCAGUUGCGAAGGCGGCUCUCUGGACUGUAACUGACGCUGAGGCACG
rnacentral:rRNA from 1 species